CGCGGCCUAUCAGCUUGUUGGUGAGGUAACGGCUCACCAAGGCAACGAUGGGUAGCUGGUCUGAGAGGAUGGUCAGCCACAUUGGGACUGAGACACUGCCCAAACUCCUACGGGAGGCUGCAGUCGAGAAUAUUUCGCAAUGGGGGAAACCCUGACGAUGCGACGCCGCGUGGGGGAUGAAGGCCUUCGGGUUGUAAACCUCUGUGUUACGGGAUGAAUUGAGCGUUGCUGAUAACGCAGCGUUUUUGACGUUACCGUAGUAGAAAGCCCCAGCUAACUACGUGCCAGCAGCUGCGGUAAUACGUAGGGGGCAAGCGUUGUCCGGAAUCACUGGGCGUAAAGCGCGCGCAGGCGGUGGAGUAAGUCAGACGUGAAAGGGUUCGGCUCAACCGAGCCAUUGCGUUUGAUACUGCUUUACUUGAGUCUAGAAGAGGAAAGUGGAAUGUAUGGUGUAGCGGUGGAAUGCUUAGAUAUCAUAUAGAACACCCGUGGCGAAGGCGGCUUUCUGGUCUAAGACUGACGCUCAUGCGCGAAAGUUUGGGGAGCAACCGGGAUUAGAUACCCCGCUAGUCCUUACUGUAAACGAUGGGUACUAAGUGUAGGGGGUGUUGAUUCCCUCUGUGCUGUAGCUAACGCAUUAAGUACCCCGCCUGGGGAGUACGG
rnacentral:rRNA from 1 species